UUUUUUUUAGUUCUGCCGGUUCUGCUGCUGGUACCGCAGCGUGUUCUGGUUCUGGUCUAUAAACGAGAAACCUCUCCUGCAGCUUCCCCUCGUUUCACACCGUCUGGACCUCGCCUGGUUGCCAUGGAGACGGCGUCACGUGACCGCAGGGGGGUCGGCGCUCCGGUGACGAAACAGACUCGCCACUGUGUGUGUGUGUCUGUCUGAGCUGAACCGGGUCCAGCGACACCAGCGAGGGUCCCGGGUCCACUUCACACCUCACGUCCCAGUUUCCAUGGCGACCAGCGGCGGGGAGACAAAAGCCGCCAGAAACGGCUCCUUUCAAGUCAUCUGGAAAAACGAUCCAAACCAACCUCUAAACCGUGGAAAGUUACCACCGUCGCCAUGGUAACGGCCGGAGACGACCUGGAGAUUUCCAGUAAACUGCCGCAGAAGCAAAAGUAAAAGCUGGGGGGGGGGGGGAAAUCACAGGGAAUUCCCA